rnacentral:rRNA from 1 species
AUGCUUCAUGCUAGUAUGAUUUCCCCAUUCGAUGAUUUACCCAUUUAUGAUGAGUAUGAUGAUUGCCAUGUGGAGUCUAUUAGUUGUGAUGCCAUGUUACAUAUGAUUUCUUGUGCUAAUUCUCUCGGUCACAUCAUGUUUGCCAAUCCGCUUGACUUGUCAUAUGCUAUGCAUGAGAUCAAUCAUAUGUCAUAUUUGCAAUCUCUUCAUAGUGACUAUGCAUAUGCCAUUCAGAUUAACCCAAUUUGCACAUAUGGCAUAGAUGACAAGCCUAUGGUUAUUGGCAUUUGUUUCUCUUGUGAUGAUAUUGACAUGCUACCUUUGCAUUAUUUAUCUCAUAUGCCAUGCCAUGACCACCUAGCUUCGGAUAUGCAUUGUUUUCGAUAUUGUUCAUUUUCUCCAUAUGAUGUUCCCAUUAUUGCUCAUGAGGAGACCCCCAUAGUUUCCUCAUACAUGUUUGGAGAUUUUGUUCACUCCCACCCAUUGCAUGAUCGCAAUACUUGUAUGCACAAUAUGCUUCCCAUGAAUAAACAUGCUAUUGUUGUACCAUAUACUUGUAUGCUCAAUUUGCAUCCCCAUCAUGUUAUACACAAUAACUAUUCUUUCAUGAUGGAUGACAUGUUCUUAUAA